rnacentral:rRNA from 1 species
UACGGGGGGGGGCAAGCGUUUGUUCGGAAUUACUGGGCGUAAAGGGCUCGUAGGUGGCCAACUAAGUCGGACGUGAAAUCCCUCAGCUUAACUGGGGAACUGCGUCCGAUACUGGAUGGCUCGAGUUUGGGAGAGGGAUGCGGAAUUCCAGGUGUAGCGGUGAAAUGCGUAGAUAUCUGGAGGAACACCGGUGGCGAAGGCGGCGA